UACGUAGGGUGCAAGCGUUGUUCGGAGUUACUGGGCGUAAAGAGUGCGUAGGCGGUUUUCUAAGUUUGGUGUGAAAUCUCCCGGCUUAACUGGGAGGGUGCGCCGAAGACUGGAAGGCUUGAGUAUGGGAGAGGUAAGCGGAAUUCCUGGUGUAGCGGUGAAAUGCGUAGAUAUCAGGAGGAACACCUGCGGUGUAGACGGCUUACUGGACCAUCACUGACGCUGAGGCACGAAAGCCGGGGGAGCGAACAGG
rnacentral:rRNA from 1 species